AAUGAACGUUGGCGGCGUGGAUUAGGCAUGCAAGUCGUACGGUGGUUUCCUUUCGGGGAGGCCAUAGUGGCGAAAGGGAGAGUAACGCGUGGUUACAUGCCCUCGAGACCGGGAUAGCGGCGGGAAACUGCCGGUAAUACCGGAUAAUAUCUUUGGAUCAAAGGUGUGAUUCCGCUCGAGGAUUGGACCGCGUUCUAUUAGCUUGUUGGCGGGGUAAUGGCCCACCAAGGCGACGAUGGAUACCGGGUGUGAGAGCAUGGCCCGGCUCACUGGGACUGAGACACUGCCCAGACACCUACGGGUGGCUGAAGUCGAGAAUCUUCGGCAAUGGGGGCAACCCUGACCGAGCGACGCCGCGUGCGGGACGAAGGCCUUCGGGUUGUAAACCGCUGUCAGUUGAGAGGAAAUGCUGGGGGGUUCUCCCCUCAGUUUGACCGAUCUUCAGAGGAAGGACGGGCUAAGUUCGUGCCAGCCGCCGCUGUAA
rnacentral:rRNA from 1 species